rnacentral:pre_miRNA from 1 species
AGUGAGAUAACUGGGUCAAAUGGUGGAUCUAGUCCAAGUUUUUUGAGGAAUCUCCAUACUGCUUUCCAGAGUGUUUACACCCAUUUGCAAACCCACCAGCAAU